UCUCACUCGCUUGUGAUUUGCUGCAACUCGCUCCACAUCAGCUCCACCGAAGAGAGUCGGAUUCUUCCUGAUUUUGCCAGUGAUGAACUCAAGUCGGACAGAGGCCACGUCUAGCCCUCCUCAGCUCUAGUCACGCAAUGCUGUGUGCACAAACCUCCUGCGACUGUUCAACCCCAACACAAGAAAGCCAUCAAGUACCUGCAAUUGACAGAAUCGCGUGCAAUUCAGGUACUCCUGGAUUGUACUGGAGCGCGGCCAAACGGGGAGUGAAGGAAAAGUUUCAGCUAUGUUCCCAUUUUGGUCGUCGGGUCUUCACUUUACUCCGGUCCCUGGAAUCCAGUCCUCGUUUUGAGGUCUCAGGGAAGCUCUGAUCCCAGAAAUACAAGCAAGCCUGGAGGUGGUUAGGACAUGAAAGUGAGCAACCUGACAAUAAACUCCAAGUACCAUCAUGCCUUGCGCGUGUACGUUUCGCCGAGCGCAGCAUGUGCUGCACCGCUCCGCUCCAACUAUGGCUCAGUGCUGCUCUGGCUCUUCGCGGGAGCGCAUCGUGCCCGCGACAGAGAGGCCACACGGUCGGGUGCCGAUGCGAUGCAGGGACCGUCAGUGGGGGAACCAGUGUCUCUCAUGUCUCUCAUUACUCGUUGGGAAUAACCGAAUUUCCACUUUCUGCCCGGGUUUUGCCAGGAGCGCGGCGCAGUUUUACGCAAGGAUUCUCGUGGACGCACCAGGAGGAUUAACUGCUGACAUUUACUGCGCUGACCCGGCGUGGAGGGGGAGCUCAUAUUUCUAUUAUCAUUAUCUGUGGAAGCUUGAUGACGAUGGCAACGACAGCUGAUGGAUUCAACAGUCCCGUUGGAUAUAAGGAAAUGCUGCUGUGCCUCACACGGGAUGGACGGUGCCUGUUACGGCCGCUGCCCAGCUCCUGCUGCUGGACAAGCCGCUCGUCGGACGCACGAGUCUCUCGGGAUACUUCGCGCGUGUUCAGGGGAAGCGGGUGUCAUAGGUGGCCAACAAUACCAUGAUAUUAUUUUUGGGAUUUUUCGGAGCAUGGGAAGGAAUAUCCUGGAUUAUAUUUUGGAAGUGAUGCUCAGCAGAUGACCAGCAAUUUGGAUAACGACGGGACGCGUCAACUCAUCCGAGUGAACGAAUCCAAAUUCCGGGAAAAAGAAGUCGGCCCUUAAUCGCUGCCCAGGGAUCUUCUGAUGAUCUCAGACGAGCACCAAGACGAGGCUGACUAAUGGAAACACGAUCUCAAGAGAUUCAACAGGGAGCCAGCCGCCAGGUACAGUAGAUGUGCUGAUGAGGGAGGGAGAUAGGGGACGGCCUCUGUCGCAGCCCCAGGCACGGACAGGCGCACACGGGCAGGCUGCCGCUCAGAGGCAGGUUGGGACCUGGUUCUGUAUGCUGAUGCUGCUCUACUGGCUCUGCUCCAGGGAUCAUACUAAGUCCUGGCUUGGACUACGGACCAGCACAUCCUGCAGCAGAUGUUUGCUCUUGGCACGGCUGCCGACAGCAUGAGCUCCAUCACUGACAAUCUUGCGCUCAGGAUCCGCGCCAGCAACUUGGACUUGAAGAAGCUCUGACAUUAACUCAGCUGGACAGUGGAGUGUAUUCUGCUACUCCGACAUCAUGGAACAGAUCAGUCAACUUUGUCUGGAGAGAUGCUCAGUAGGAAGGCCAAAUCAACGAAUGUGCCUUGACCGUGGCUACCACAAUGGACCUCCAUAUUAUUUGACUUUUUCUAAAUUGAACCUGGAUUAAUAUUUUCCUGUAUAUGCAUCUGCUUUUGAUAUCCAGCGCUUAUUCAGACUGUUGUUCAUACAGUGCACCCUAGUUGUGACAUUUACUGUGUUAUUCUGGGACAAGUACCAACGAGCGCUGGAACUGUAAAUGGAAUAAAAUCAGAUGUUACUUUCAUUUCUUAAGACUAUUUUUGCAAACUGAUGGCAGCACUUACACUAGCGCAGGCACACAUGAAGUUUAUGUGAAGAGCGCAAUAGAUGUCUCCUGUGGCGUAAAACAAAGGAAUACAUGCAAUCAAGAUCAAUGAUGUCAGAAGGAUUACUCAGUCACUGGAAAUGUACCUUUAUCAUGAGAUCUUCGAAUGGCGUUUCACAAUGAAGCUAUUAUCAUCAGGGUGCUGAUGAAUGCUCUCUUACCGACACUGCAUUUCACUGUGACACAUUGACAGCCUGUGUGUGGUUAAUAAUCCUGUCAAGCUGCUUAUUUUCUUGAUGAUUUGUUGCUCUGUAACUUUCGCUGUGUCUGUGAAACCUCAUUUGCAGAAAUUAAAAAAAAUAAAUACA